AGAGUUUGAUCCUGGCUCAGGAUGAACGCUGGCGGCGCGCCUAACACAUGCAAGUCGAACGGCACCCCUCUCCGGAGGGAAGCGAGUGGCGAACGGCUGAGUAACACGUGGAGAGCCUGCCCCCUCCCCCGGGAUAGCCGCCCGAAAGGACGGGUAAUACCGGAUACCCCGGGGUGCCGCAUGGCACCCCGGCUGAAGCCCCGACGGGAGGGGAUGGCUCCGCGGCCCAUCAGGUAGACGGCGGGGUGACGGCCCACCGUGCCGAUAACGGGUAGCCGGGUUGAGAGACCGACCGGCCAGAUUGGGACUGAGACACGGCCCAGACUCCUACGGGAGGCAGCAGUGGGGAAUCUUGCGCAAUGGGGGCAACCCUGACGCAGCGACGCCGCGUGCGGGAUGGAGGCCUUCGGGUCGUAAACCGCUUUCAGCAGGGAAGAGACAAGACUGUACCUGCAGAAGAAGCCCCGGCUAACUACGUGCCAGCAGCCGCGGUAAUACGUAGGGGGCGAGCGUUAUCCGGAUUCAUUGGGCGUAAAGCGCGCGUAGGCGGCCUGGCAGGCCGGGGGUCAAAUGCGGGGGCUCAACCCCCGCCCGCCCCCGGAACCUCUAGGCUUGGGUCCGGUAGGGGAGGGUGGAACACCCGGUGUAGCGGUGGAAUGCGCAGAUAUCGGGUGGAACACCGGUGGCGAAGGCGGCCCUCUGGGCCGUGACCGACGCUGAGGCGCGAAAGCUGGGGGAGCGAACAGGAUUAGAUACCCUGGUAGUCCCAGCCGUAAACGAUGGACUAUAGGUGUGGGGGGACGAUCCCUCCGUGCCGCAGCCAACGCAUAAGCUCCCGCCUGGAGA
rnacentral:rRNA from 1 species